CGCGUAGGCGGUCUCUUAAGUCAGAUGUGAAAGCCCGGGGCUUAACCUCGGAAGUGCAUUUGAAACUAAGGGACUUGAGUAUGGGAGAGGGAAGUGGAAUUCCUGGUGUAGCGGUGGAAUGCGUAGAUAUCAGGAGGAACACCGGUGGCGAAGGCGACUUCCUGGACCAAUACUGACGCUGAGGCGCGAAGGCGUGGGGAGCAAACAGGAUUAGAUACCCUGGUAGUCC
rnacentral:rRNA from 1 species